rnacentral:tRNA from 1 species
GGUUUUGGUCCCCCUAUUUGGGGGGUUGAAACCCUCCCUCCCCG